UUUUAUCUUCCAUCUCUAUUUUGCCAAUUUGUUUAUGCAACAUAAAAUAAUAUAUAUCUUUUGUUCAAUCCAUGUCAAUAUCUAUUUUAUUUUUUACAUUAUUUGAAUAAAACAUUCAAAAACAUGAACAUUAAAAAAAUAUAAAAAAUAAAUUUAAGGUUUAAAGUACAAAAUAAAAA
rnacentral:misc_RNA from 1 species